GACGAACGCUGGCGGCGUGCCUAAUACAUGCAAGUAGAACGCUGAAGGAGGAGCUUGCUCUUCUGGAUGAAUUGCGAACGGGUGAGUAACGCGUAGGUAACCUGCCUGGUAGCGGGGGAUAACUAUUGGAAACGCUAGCUAAUACCGCAUAAGAGUAGAUGUUGCAUGACAUUUACUUAAAAGGUGCACUUGCAUCACUACCAGAUGGACCUGCGUUGUAUUAGCUAGUUGGUGGGGUAACGGCUUACCAAGGCGACGAUACAUAGCCGACCUGAGAGGGUGAUCGGCCACACUGGGACUGAGACACGGCCCAGACUCCUACGGGAUGCAGCAGUAGGGAAACUGCGGCAAUGGACGGAAGUCUGACCGAGAAACGCCGCGUGAGUGAAGAAGGUGUUCGGAUCGUAAAGCUCUGUUGUAAGAGAAGAACGAGGGUGAGAGUGGAAAGUUCACACUGUGACGGUAUCUUACCAGAAAGGGACGGCUAACUACGUG
rnacentral:rRNA from 1 species